rnacentral:rRNA from 1 species
AGAGUUUGAUCAUGGCUCAGGAUGAACGCUGGCGGCGUGCUUAACACAUGCAAGUCGAACGAACCUUCGGGUUAGUGGCGGACGGGUGAGUAACGCGUGAGAAUCUGCCCUCAGGAGGGGGAUAACAGUUGGAAACGACUGCUAAUACCCCAUAUGCCGAGAGGUAAAAUGAAUUUUGCCUGGGGAUGAGCUCGCGUCUGAUUAGCUUGUUGGUGGGGUAAAGGCCUACCAAGGCUUCGAUCAGUAGCUGGUCUGAGAGGACGAUCAGCCACACUGGGACUGAGACACGGCCCAGACUCCUACGGGAGGCAGCAGUGGGGAAUUUUCCGCAAUGGGCGCAAGCCUGACGGAGCAACGCCGCGUGAGGGAUGGAGGCCUUUGGGCUGUAAACCUCUUUUCUCAGGGAAGAAGAUCUGACGGUACUUGAGGAAUAAGCCACGGCUAAUUCCGUGCCAGCAGCCGCGGUAAUACGGGAGUGGCAAGCGUUAUCCGGAAUUAUUGGGCGUAAAGCGUCCGCAGGCGGCCGUUUAAGUCUGUUGUUAAAUCGUGGAGCUCAACUCCAUCACGGCAAUGGAAACUGUUCGGCUUGAGUAUGGUAGGGGCAGAGGGAAUUUCCGGUGUAGCGGUGAAAUGCGUAGAUAUCGGGAAGAACACCAGUGGCAAAAGC